UGGCGGANGGGUGAGUAAUGCUUGGGAAUCUGGCUUAUGGAGGGGGAUAACUACGGGAAACUGUAGCUAAUACCGCGUAAUAUCUUCGGAUUAAAGGGUGGGACCUUCGGGCCACCUGCCAUAAGAUGAGCCCAAGUGGGAUUAGGUAGUUGGUUAGGUAAAGGCUGACCAAGCCGACGAUCUCUAGCUGGUCUGAGAGGAUGACCAGCCACACUGGAACUGAGACACGGUCCAGACUCCUACGGGAGGCAGCAGUGGGGAAUAUUGCACAAUGGGGGAAACCCUGAUGCAGCCAUGCCGCGUGAAUGAAGAAGGCCUUCGGGUUGUAAAGUUCUUUCGGUGAUGAGGAAGGCAGUUUUGUUAAUAGCAAAAUUGAUUGACGUUAGUCACAGAAAG
rnacentral:rRNA from 1 species